rnacentral:rRNA from 1 species
GACGAACGCUGGCGGCGUGCUUAACACAUGCAAGUCGAACGGAAAGGCCUGCUUUCCCUUGUGGAUUGCGGGUACUCGAGUGGCGAACGGGUGAGUAACACGUGAGUGAUCUGCCCCCAACUUGGGUAUAAGCCUGGGAAACUGGGUCUAAUUCCCGGUAGGACUGCAGGGUGGUGCCUGUGGUGGAAAACGAUUUUCUAGUGGUUGGGGAUGAGCUCGCGGCCUAUCAGCUUGUUGGUGGGGUAAUGGCCUACCAAGGCGGCGACGGGUAGCCGGCCUGAGAGGGUGGACGGCCACAUUGGGACUGAGAUACGGCCCAGACUCCUACGGGAGGCAGCAGUGGGGAAUAUGGCACAAUGGGCGGAAGCCUGAUGCAGCGACGCCGCGUGGGGGAUGACGGCCUUCGGGUUGUAAACUCCUUUCGACCGCGAGGAAGCCACCUGGUUGGAAGGGUGGUGACGGUAGUGGUAGAAGAAGCACCGGCUAACUACGUG